CCAAUAGCGUAUAUUAAAGUUGUUGCAGUUAAAAAGCUCGUAGUUGAAUUUCGGGGUUUGUCCGUCGGUCGGGCUUUUGGGUCUGUACUGGCGUGAUGGAUUCCUACCUUCUGAAUAACCGGCAUGUCAUUAAUUUGGUGCGCCGGGGAAGCAGGACUGUUACCUUGAAAAAAUUAGAGUGCUUAAAGCAGGCUAUUGCCUGAAUACAUUAGCAUGGAAUAAUGAAAUAGGACGGCAUGGUUCUAUUUUGUUGGUUUCUAGGAUCACCGUAAUGAUUAAUAGGGAUAGUUGGGGGCAUUAGUAUUCAAUUGUCAGAGGUGAAAUUCUUGGAUUUAUUGAAGACUAACUUCUGCGAAAGCAUUUGCCAAGGAUGUUUUCAUUAAUCAAGAACGAAAGUUAGGGGAUCGAAGACGAUCAGAUACCGUCGUAGUCUUAACCAUAAACUAUGCCGACUAGGGAUCGGACGAUGUUAAUUUUUUAAUGACUCGUUCGGCGCCUUACG
rnacentral:rRNA from 1 species